UACAUUCUAAAACUGUUCUGCAAAGAAAGGAAACAAAAUUUAUAAAAUCUAAAAAAGUACAAGUGAAGAAUUGGAUGCUUCGAACCCAGAAACUACCAUCCACCACCAUAUGAAAGGACUCGAAAUACAGGAAGUCUCAUUCGGUAUUCCAUGCCAAUGCCAGGAUUUUGUUGUCUCUAAUCGGGUGUUCAGGGAUUAUGUUGAAAAUUUUUGGGGCCAAGUAGGCAUGGCUUCUCUGUCCCACACUUUUACUACAUCUUGGUGCUUGGUAUCUUACCCAACUUGAUGUCCAUAAUGAGUUUCAGAGCAUAUAAUUGCCUUACAUCGUGUACUCCUGCCAAUUCAAAUAGUU